rnacentral:lncRNA from 1 species
AACUACUCCUAAACCGAGAAGUGAACCUGGGAUCCCUAUCGGACACCACUGUCACUGAGACUCUAUGCAAUCUGACUACUUUCCGGAUAUACAUUCUUGCUAACUUGUCCAAAGGAUCAAUCAUUCUGAUAGCUAAAAAAUGAAAAGACUUGGUAAGCUGGUCGAUAAUUACCCAGAGGUAUCAUGUUCUAAGCGUGCCUUAGGUAAUCCUGUCACGAAGUCUAUGAUGAUAUGUUCGAACUUCCAUUUUGGGAUUGGUAAUGGUUGAAGUAACCCGUCUGGCGCUGAUUCUUUACCUUGACCUACUGACAUG